AACGAACGCUGGCGGCAUGCCUAACACAUGCAAGUCGAACGAGACCUUCGGGUCUAGUGGCGCACGGGUGCGUAACGCGUGGGAACCUGCCUUUAGGUUCGGAAUAACUCAGAGAAAUUUGAGCUAAUACCGGAUGAUGUCUUCGGACCAAAGAUUUAUCGCCUUUAGAUGGGCCCGCGUUGGUUUAGCUAGUUGGUGGGGUAAAGGCCUACCAAGGCGACGAUCCAUAGCUGGUCUGAGAGGAUGAUCAGCCACACUGGGACUGAGACACGGCCCAGACUACUACGGGAGGCAGCAGUGGGGAAUAUUGGACAAUGGGCGAAAGCCUGAUCCAGCAAUGCCGCGUGAGUGAUGAAGGCCUUAGGGUUGUAAAGCUCUUUUACCCGAGAUGAUAAUGACAGUAUCGGGAGAAUAAGCUCCGGCUAACUCCGUG
rnacentral:rRNA from 1 species